UUUAGGUAGCGCCUCGUGAAUUCAUCUCCGGGGGUAGAGCACUGUUUCGGCAAGGGGGUCAUCCCGACUUACCAACCCGAUGCAAACUGCGAAUACCGGAGAAUGUUAUCACGGGAGACACACGGCGGGUGCUAACGUCCGUCGUGAAGAGGGAAACAACCCAGACCGCCAGCUAAGGUCCCAAAGUCAUGGUUAAGUGGGAAACGAUGUGGGAAGGCCCAGACAGCCAGGAUGUUGGCUUAGAAGCAGCCAUCAUUUAAAGAAAGCGUAAUAGCUCACUGGUCGAGUCGGCCUGCGCGGAAGAUGUAACGGGGCUAAACCAUGCACCGAAGCUGCGGCAGCGACACUAUGUGUUGUUGGGUAGGGGAGCGUUCUGUAAGCCUGCGAAGGUGUACUGUGAGGUAUGCUGGAGGUAUCAGAAGUGCGAAUGCUGACAUAAGUAACGAUAAAGCGGGUGAAAAGCCCGCUCGCCGGAAGACCAAGGGUUCCUGUCCAACGUUAAUCGGGGCAGGGUGAGUCGACCCCUAAGGCGAGGCCGAAAGGCGUAGUCGAUGGGAAACAGGUUAAUAUUCCUGUACUUGGUGUUACUGCGAAGGGGGGACGGAGAAGGCUAUGUUGGCCGGGCGACGGUUGUCCCGGUUUAAGCGUGUAGGCUGGUUUUCCAGGCAAAUCCGGAAAAUCAAGGCUGAGGCGUGAUGACGAGGCACUACGGUGCUGAAGCAACAAAUGCCCUGCUUCCAGGAAAAGCCUCUAAGCAUCAGGUAACAUCAAAUCG
rnacentral:rRNA from 1 species